rnacentral:rRNA from 1 species
CUACGGAGGGUGCAAGCGUUAUUCGGAAUCACUGGGCGUAAAGGACGCGUAGGCGGGUUGGCAAGUCAGAUGUGAAAUCCUACAGCUUAACUGUAGAACUGCAUUUGAAACUGCUAACCUAGAGUAUGGGAGGGGGAGAUGGAAUUAGUGGUGUAGGGGUAAAAUCAGUAGAUAUCACUAGGAAUACCGAAAGCGAAGGCGAUCUCCUGGAACAUAACUGACGCUAAGGCGUGAAAGCGUGGGGAGCAAACAGGAUUAGAUACCCUAGUAGUCC